rnacentral:other from 1 species
UGCCUGGGAUGUACGACAACUCUUGUUAUUUUGAACCUACAUUUACUUUAAACGGGAUUCUUAUAUGAACUUGUGGAUGUCAUGCCUUAUCUACGGAUCAGAGGAAGGCAGAAGCAAGACUGCGGUUACCCACCUAGCAAGCGCGCUAGGAGUCAAAAUACAAGAAACGGCAUUUCGGGUUUU